AGGACAAUAGGACUCAAAAAACGGGGAGGAUUGCAAGGACAAUUCUCGUCCAAUCGUGUUCAUUAAGGGAAAUUCCGUCAAACAAAAAUGCAUUGGACUAAAAAGAAUAAAUGUGUUGGGAUGGGCUUGGUUAACCAGAAACCAUAUUGGACUAACAAGGCAAGACUCGAUGUUCGUCGUCAUCUCCUUCGUUCAUCAAGCAAACACGAAGAAAACCUAAAAGACAUUGAAUUCGCCAUGGUUUCUACUGAAUUCUUCAAUAUUUUAUUUAAAUCGUACAAAAUCAGGUGCUCGAUGAAAUGCCUAAAAGAGUUCAUUAUCUCAUGAACAAAGAAAAGUUGGGGAUUAUCUGUGAGAAAAUCAAAGUAAUUAUAUGCAACAAUUUGAAUAGAAUUUAAACAAUUUUGGCCCAAGGAUUGUGAAGACAAAAUCAUAAACUUUGAAACAAAUUCAUAUCAGAUGUGAAGGCACUAUCUUUUUAAAGGUGUUUGAUCAAAAGUCUCCCUACACCCUUUUUCUUUUCACCCUUGUUGACUCCUAAUUUUCGUAUUCCAAAUAUGUUUUUGAUGUGUCGAUCUCCAUGUUAAAUUUUCACAUUUAUACUAUAGAAACAAUUGCAUUUUAUUUAUUUCCAAACCACCAGGUAGUAAACUUGAGUUAAAUCUAAAGAGACAUUAUUGUGCU